GCCUACGGGGGGCAGCAGUGGGGAAUAUUGCGCAAUGGGCGAAAGCCUGACGCAGCGACGCCGCGUGAGGGAUGAAGGUCUUCGGAUCGUAAACCUCUGUCAGCAGGGAAGAACGGUCACUGUGCUAAUCAGCAGUGAAUUGACGGUACCUGCAAAGGAAGCACCGGCUAACUCCGUGCCAGCAGCCGCGGUAGUACGGAGGGUGCGAGCGUUAAUCGGAAUUACUGGGCGUAAAGCGCUCGUAGGCGGUAUGUCAAGUCAAGGGUGAAAUCCCCGCGCUCAACGUGGGAACUGCCUUUGAAACG
rnacentral:rRNA from 1 species